rnacentral:rRNA from 1 species
GAUGAACGCUGGCGGCGUGCCUAAUACAUGCAAGUCGAGCGAACAGACGAGGAGCUUGCUCCUCUGACGUUAGCGGCGGACGGGUGAGUAACACGUGGAUAACCUACCUAUAAGACUGGGAUAACUUCGGGAAACCGGAGCUAAUACCGGAGAAUAUAUUGAACCGCAUGGUUCAAUAGUGAAAGACGGCUUUGCUGUCACUUAUAGAUGGAUCCGCGCCGCAUUAGCUAGUUGGUAAGGUAACGGCUUACCAAGGCAACGAUGCGUAGCCGACCUGAGAGGGUGAUCGGCCACACUGGAACUGAGACACGGUCCAGACUCCUACGGGAGGCAGCAGUAGGGAAUCUUCCGCAAUGGGCGAAAGCCUGACGGAGCAACGCCGCGUGAGUGAUGAAGGUCUUCGGAUCGUAAAACUCUGUUAUUAGGGAAGAACAAAUGUGUAAGUAACUAUGCACGUCUUGACGGUACCUAAUCAGAAAGCCACGGCUAACUACGUG